rnacentral:rRNA from 1 species
AUUGAACGCUGGCGGCAUGCCUUACACAUGCAAGUCGAACGGUAACAGGUCUUCGGAUGCUGACGAGUGGCGAACGGGUGAGUAAUACAUCGGAACGUGCCCGAUCGUGGGGGAUAACGGAGCGAAAGCUUUGCUAAUACCGCAUACGAUCUACGGAUGAAAGCAGGGGACCGCAAGGCCUUGCGCGGACGGAGCGGCCGAUGGCAGAUUCGGUAGUUGGUGGGAUAAAAGCUUACCAAGCCGACGAUCUGUAGCUGGUCUGAGAGGACGACCAGCCAGACUGGGACUGGGACACGGCCCAGACUCCUACGGGAGGCAGCAGUGGGGAAUGUUGGACAAUGGGCGAAAGCCUGAUCCAGCCAUGCCGCGUGCAGGAUGAAGGCCUUCGGGUUGUAAACUGCUUUUGUACGGAACGAAAAGACUCUUUCUAAUAAAGAGGGUCCAUGACGGUACCGUAAGAAUAAGCACCGGCUAACUACGUGCCAGCCGCCGCCGUAA